UGAGGAAUAGCUCAAGUGGUAGAGUGUAUGCUUAGCAACCACAGGGUCCUGGGUUCAAUCCCCAGUACCUCCU
rnacentral:tRNA from 1 species